rnacentral:rRNA from 1 species
CUGCGGCAGCGACACUUUAGUGUUGUUGGGUAGGGGAGCGUUCUGUAAGCCGUUGAAGGUGUCCUGUGAGGGGUGCUGGAGGUAUCAGAAGUGCGAAUGCUGACAUAAGUAACGAUAAAGCGGGUGAAAAGCCCGCUCGCCGGAAGACCAAGGGUUCCUGUCCAACGUUAAUCGGGGCAGGGUGAGUCGACCCCUAAGGCGAGGCCGAAAGGCGUAGUCGAUGGGAAACGGGUUAAUAUUCCCGUACUUGGUGUUACUGCGAAGGGGGGACGGAGAAGGCUAUGUUGGCCGGGCGACGGUAGUCCCGGUUUAAGCGUGUAGGCUGGUUUUCCAGGCAAAUCCGGAAAAUCAAGGCUGAGGCGUGAUGACGAGGCACCACGGUGCUGAAGCAACAAAUGCCCUGCUUCCAGGAAAAGCCUCUAAGCAUCAGGUAACAUCAAAUCGUACCCCAAACCGACACAGGUGGUCAGGUAGAGAAUACCAAGGCGCUUGAGAGAACUCGGGUGAAGGAACUAGGCAAAAUGGUGCCGUAACUUCGGGAGAAGGCACGCUGACACGUAGGUGAAGUGAUUUACUCACGGAGCUGAAGUCAGUCGAAGAUACCAGCUGGCUGCAACUGUUUAUUAAAAACACAGCACUGUGCAAACACGAAAGUGGACGUAUACGGUGUGACGCCUGCCCGGUGCCGGAAGGUUAAUUGAUGGGGUCAGCGCAAGCGAAGCUCCUGAUCGAAGCCCCGGUAAACGGCGGCCGUAACUAUAACGGUCCUAAGGUAGCGAAAUUCCUUGUCGGGUAAGUUCCGACCUGCACGAAUGGCGUAAUGAUGGCCAGGCUGUCUCCACCCGAGACUCAGUGAAAUUGAACUCGCUGUGAAGAUGCAGUGUACCCGCGGCAAGACGGAAAGACCCCGUGAACCUUUACUAUAGCUUGACACUGAACAUUGAGCCUUGAUGUGUAGGAUAGGUGGGAGGCUUUGAAGCGUGGACGCCAGUCUGCGUGGAGCCGACCUUGAAAUACCACCCUUUAAUGUUUGAUGUUCUAACGUGGACCCGUAAUCCGGGUUGCGGACAGUGUCUGGUGGGUAGUUUGACUGGGGCGGUCUCCUCCUAAAGAGUAACGGAGGAGCACGAAGGUUGGCUAAUCCUGGUCGGACAUCAGGAGGUUAGUGCAAUGGCAUAAGCCAGCUUGACUGCGAGCGUGACGGCGCGAGCAGGUGCGAAAGCAGGUCAUAGUGAUCCGGUGGUUCUGAAUGGAAGGGCCAUCGCUCAACGGAUAAAAGGUACUCCGGGGAUAACAGGCUGAUACCGCCCAAGAGUUCAUAUCGACGGCGGUGUUUGGCACCUCGAUGUCGGCUCAUCACAUCCUGGGGCUGAAGUAGGUCCCAAGGGUAUGGCUGUUCGCCAUUUAAAGUGGUACGCGAGCUGGGUUUAGAACGUCGUGAGACAGUUCGGUCC